AGGCUUAGCCUCUCAAGAUAUCUCAUCAUCCGAUGAGUUUUUUUAUUAGUCAUGUGUGCUAAUGCUCGUGAGAGUAUGGUAUACAAAAAACAAAAAGUUGAGU
rnacentral:ncRNA from 1 species